ensembl:lincRNA
AUGAUGCCUCUAUCCAGACGGAAGGACAGAGCCGCACAGAAGACAAGAAGCGGAGUUCACUGGGGCGGCUGGUGCUGCUGGUUGGUCCCUUCAGGGUUCCCAGGCCCAGGCGGAGCUCCGACCGUGGGGCGCACAUUUCAAGACCAGAGAGAGCCAGGCAGAGCCGAACCUGGCUUCAGGAAUGUCCGCAAUGGGCAUCCGUGGCAGACCACACCCCUGCUCCGAGGAAUGGGUCUUUCAGGGGACGCCACAGGCCCCUUCCUGGCAGCCAGCUUAGGUAGGUACCAAAUGCCUGGAAACGACGGCAGCCUCCAGGGCCCGGACUCACCUGCUGCACGGGGUGCAGGGUGCGGGCUGCAGGCCCCGCAGAGGCUGGGCUCUGAGCAGCGGGGUCAGGAAUGGGCUCAGAGCAGCCGAGCCCCCCCACCGCACCCCCCGCCGCUCAGAGGGGGAAGCCCAAGCCACGGAUCUCAGCAGCGGGGCCCCUCGGUUGCUUUUAGAGUCCUGCUCCCGGCGGUCGCUAAACUGGCAGUCUGGGCCUUGACUGACGCCUGCGCAGUAGUCUGCAGGGAAGGCGGAAAAGGGGAGGCUGAGGGGCUGUCUGGCCCCCUCUCCCCCAUUUAACCUUAAUCCAGCUCUAGGAGUCUUUCACGGGGACCCUGGGGCGGGCGGGGCCGAGGAAGGGGCCCGAAACAGAGCCCGGGGCCAGGUGGAAGCGCAUCAGGGGUCAGGGCAGGGAGCACAGCCUCUGACCCCCCAGGCGCCUGAAAUCGGAGCUCCCCACGUGGCAUGAAAGUACAGGCCCGUCUGCGGGGACCCUUCUCUCCUGCUGCUACCUUUCCAAGUCCUGGGCUCUGAGUGUCGGCCUCUUCCUGGGAAGGAGGACGGGGUGGGGUCCACAUUCAGGGAUCAUCUCAAGGGUAAUAAUAUUAACUGUUACUAUUUCUAUGCCCUUUCUUUGUGCCGAGCCCGGUUCUAAGAGCUUUUCGUGGGAGAUCAGCUGACACUCACAGGAGCCUCCGGAGAUGGAUAUCUUCGUUGUCCCUAGCUUACGGCCGAAGAGGCUGAAACACAGACCGGUGCAGCAACUUUCCCAGGGCCACACAGCUAGGAAACGGUAUCCGUGGGAUUUGCCCCUGUGAAGCUUGGAGGUGGGAGCCCGUGUUCCUCUUCCUACGCUUGGACGAGAGUGACGCUCCUGAAUCCUAACUCAGUGCUCUUUCCAAUUUAACCUGCUCGGCCGCAUCCAGUUAGCUUUUAGCUGGAAAAAGCUGCACGGACCAGCAGUGCUGACUCAGCUUCCCUUCUACAGUUUGCGCCAGUUUGUGAGGCCGGAGCAGAACACCUUUGGUGGCCUCUGCUGCCACCUGCUGGUCACAGCGAGGUAGGACAGCUGUGUGCUUUCAGGCUUCCCUCGGUCUGGGUGACGUCAUCCUCCCUGUGUGGACCAUCUACACUGUUGACUCCCAAAUCAUGCCCUCUUCUGAGAUCCCGGUCUGUGUAUCCAGAUGCAAACGUCUCUGACCCUGCAGUCCCCUGACAUCCUGCAAGUGACAACGGUUCCUAAAUGACAGAGCCGGAACCGGGCUCUCUAGCCCACCGACACCCCUGGAGGAGGCAUGUCGUCUCUCUCUCUGCCCCCCUCUUUCUUUUUGGUGCUGGGGAUUGAGCCCAGGGCCUCAUACAAGGUUUUUCACUUUUAAAUAGUUGAAAAAAUAGAAAAAUAAUCUCUAGUGAUGCGUGGAAAUGAUGAUGUGAAGUUGCAAUUUCAGUUUAUUUCUGCAAAUAGAGUUUUAUGGAAACACAGUUGAGCUCACGCACUAAUUCACCGUCUCUGCCGCUUGCUGCAAGGCCAGAGGUGAGCAGUAACAAUGCAAGCUGAAAACAGCCGCUGUCAGGCUCUGGAGAGAAAGCUUUGCCCAUGUGUACCCCAGAGAAAAAGGUCACCAGCUACAGGAGUGGCCUGCGGCGGAAGGAAGCCACCCCCAGCCAGGCAAGUUCAAGCUUCAGACAGAGGGUGACAGAGAAGCAGGCGGCGGGACGCGCUGUCCAGAGCACCCACCCUGACUUCGCAUGGGCAAACUUUGCCGGACAAUGAACCUGCGUCCUCCCAGCCCCUGGUGCAGAGCUGGGCCUGGACAGGAACCCUAGCUCCCCCUUUGGGAGGCUGUGGGAGAGCCACACCUCUAAAUGCACCGGGACAGCAGUGCGGGCCCUGGAGGUUGCUGGGGGUUCCGUCCCGAGCACUGUGGUUACGCAGUCAGUGCACCCCGUGGGGGUGGGGCAUUCGCCCUCUGCAGACCUUUCGGCCGCCAGUUCGCCGCCAGGCUGCACGAGUGGGUGCAACUCCCGCUCUGUCCACUAGAGGGCAGAAAGGCCCUGCCGGCCUCUGGAGGAGUCAGGUGGAGCUGCCGGGGCCUGGGGAGCGAGCCCUCCCUGCUGUUUACAACGUGACCUUUGAUCCGCUCCUGUUGUCUCCACAGCCUGCUGGGGGCCAGACUGUUGCAGUUUCCUGCUGGGGCGGGCCAGGCUCUUUCUAGCCCGCCUAUGGAGGCCGGGUCCUUGCAGGAACGCUCCUGGGCCCCGGGCCCAGGUCCUGGAUGCAGGCAGAGGAAGCGGCACUACACCCUCUAUCGAGGUAACCUGCCCAAGACCCACAGGCAGUGGCUCUGUCCUGGACAGGUGUCCUUAGGGACCACCAAUCUCCCGGGAGGCUCUGCCUCCUGCAGCUUCUUACGGCCACCGGAUUCUGGCCACAGCAGAGCAGACAGUUUCUUUCACAUCGAUGAAAACAGAUUCCCAGGGAACUGGAGGGCAUUCAGUUUUGAUUUUGAGGCAGAUUCUCGCUAAGUCGCCUAGGCUGGCCUCUAAAUUGUGAUCCUCCUGCCUCAGCUUCCUGAGCAGCUGCGAUUACAGGCCUGUGCCACCACACCCC